UCCCUGGAGGGCUAGUGGUUAGGCAUUGGCACUCUCACCACUGCGGCCUGGGUUUGAUCCCUGGCCAGGGAA